rnacentral:rRNA from 1 species
UAGAUACCCUGGUAGUCCACGCCGUAAACGAUGGAUACUAGGUGUAGGAGGUAUCGACCCCUCCUGUGCCGGAGUUAACGCAAUAAGUAUCCCGCCUGGGAAGUACGAUCGCAAGAUUAAAACUCAAAGGAAUUGACGGGGGCCCGCACAAGCGGUGGAGUAUGUGGUUUAAUUCGACGCAACGCGAAGAACCUUACCAAGCCUUGACAUUGAUCGCAAUCCAUAGAAAUAUGGAGUUCUUCUUCGGAAG